GCCGGCACCCUCAGCCGCCGAUGGAGGCGUGGACUCUGGCGCGGACGCGCUGAUCUCCCGGCUCCGCCUGGCCUCUGCGCCGUCCGCGGCAUCCCGUGCCGCCGCACUGCUAGAGGAGCUGGUGGAUUCCAUGGCGGCACUGCAGCUCGAGGAUGAGUUGUAGCUGAUUCGGUGCAGCUCGUCGACGGCGGCGAGCUAUCUUCCGCGGAGCGGUGUGGACACGUGUGCAGCCACAUCGAGAAGAUAGUGCGGCUAACACGGCUACUUGGCGGACGCGACGCGCUGCCGAGGUCCGCGGUUAUCCUUCCGACAGCUGCCUCCCGACGUCCCCACCGGCGCGUCCUCCUCCAUUUCCAAAGCCUCCGCCUGUGAGCACACGCCCAGACACCACUGUUAGAUCCUCGUUCUGGGCCGUCGCGGCCUCGGCCGUCAAGGCGUACGCCGCACCCUCCCCGCCGACCAGCGCCGCCGCGCUCGGGAGGCCAAGCUAGAGGAACUCGCAUCCGCGCGCGGCCGUGUUCCUGGAGUUGUCGCCGGUGCUGCAAUUGGCGCCCCCGUGGAAGGCCGUCUGCCUACUACCCGAGCACAUGCUCGCUGUAUAUACGACGAAUUGUACAACUACAGGGUCCAGGUUCAGACCUUUUGGGCUCCCUCUUAACACACGAACGGCCAGCUUGACAGGGACAACAAUUGUGCCGAAAGGGGUCUGGAUCGAGCACCCCAAACGCAAUUGCCCCUAUCCUUCAUGCGGUUUCAUUUGAUGCCAAAGGAGCCACAGCAAGUCAGCAACAACAUCCGUGCAGCAAGAUUUUCUGGCCAAGAUUUGUACCACUAGCUCUAGCUAAGGAGAGUUCGUGGUUGUAAAGAUGCAUAAUUAUAGCAGCAGAUAAAGGAAAAGGGAGGUUGCUGCUAAGCUCCUCCAGUUUGUUAAAAAUCAUUAUUUAUGUCAACCUUUAUUAAACUAACCCCACACAUUUGGUUUUACCUAACAGCUCUGAUUUUAACUACUCUUUACCUACAUUUAUUUUCUUAGCUCUUAGUUUUCAUGGACAUGGAGAUACUAUUUGUGGUACUAAUUCUAGAAAGGUCUAGAUUGAAUGGAUAAGUUCACAUCUUGCUUGAUCUUUGCAGAAGGCACCAGUAGGACAAGCCUAACAUGUAGCUCAGGUGUGCAUCUCCUUCUUUCUGAUUCGAUUCUGGUUUGUAUGGCCAGGACAAAGGAUCGAGUACAUAUUUUCUUUAUUUACCUGCUUCUCUUGUGUUUAGUUAAUCCUCUACCCGUACUUUUCUGCAUUUGCAUACUCUAUUUCAGCAGUGCAAGGUGGAAUGAUUGACUGCAGCUAGAUCUGUAGUGCGCAAUGUGGUGCUGUGUGGAGAUGCAAUGGUAGCAGACAGAAAAGCUGCUUACUCAGCUGAUUGUGUGAAACCGGGUACAAAAGAGUGUGAAAACAGGUGUGCAAGGGUGUAAAAUCGGGGGGAAAAAAGUAUCCUUUGUAUGAUCACUGACAACACGGUUCACUACUUACUCGCACCUAUUUGUGUUCCAAGUAUGAAAACAUUGACAAGUUAUGCUUUCUCUUGCCAUGCUGAUCAUAUAUAUGGUCUGUCAUAGAAGACUUCUUGGCCCAUGAUGACCUUGCACACGUCUCACAAAUUAUUCCAGAUCCGUAGCAUACAAGUGGACUUGCGCUUUUUCCAGGUUCUCCUCUCACUGUUUAUUCCGAAUGUAUCCUCUUCUGGUAAUUUUUUUACCAAUAAUUUUUUCAAACGAUUCUGUGUAAAGCCAAGAAGCCUUGCUCUUAAGAUAAAAUUUUAACAUUCCAUGAUCAUUCAGCUUCUAACAGCUGCGUCACCAAAGAUGAGUAGUGGCAUUCAGCAGCUUGAAACGAAAAUCUUUAUUACCAUCGCAUCAUGUACUAUGAUCUGCAUAUUUCUACUUCUUACUAAUUUAUUUCUUCAGAAAUACCCACCUAAUAACUAUUUUACUAAAGGUGACAAUAAUGUUGCUCCAACACCAAAUCUCACAGGGAUCCUAACUUCCUGGACAUCUUCACUCCUUUUGUGAACAAAAACAGGCCCCUUGCGGAACUCUUUGUUUACCUAGAAUAACCAUAUGUAUAUUUUAGAUUUCUAUCUUAGACUAUGAAGCUGAUAGCUGUUAUCUCAACAAAUGCUAGAACCCUAUGUUCUAUUGUAAUAUAACUGCAAAUGCUAGAACUUCUUGUAAAGUACUCUAAUAUUUUGUUAUAAUAUAACCAGGAAAUUUUUCUC